UUUUACUCAUAACUCCGAGCCGAAAAACCUGGGUCCUUACUGGAUAUGGUUUAAGGCCGACAGGGUAUAGCAGGAAACAGCUAUGCCUCCCUAUUUUGGAAAGGAGAUAGUAUGCCUGAGCUU
rnacentral:ncRNA from 2 species